UGGGGAAUAUUGCGCAAUGGGGGAAACCCUGACGCAGCGACGCCGUGUGAGGGAAGAAGGCUUUCGGGUCGUAAACCUCUGUCAGGAAGGAAGAACCUCUCAAGGCUGAACAAGCCUUGGGACUGACGGUACUUCCAGAGGAAGCACCGGCUAACUCCGUGCCAGCAGCCGCGGUAAUACGGAGGGUGCAAGCGUUAAUCGGAAUCACUGGGCGUAAAGCGCGCGUAGGCCGUCUUUUAAGUCGGACGUGAAAGCCCUCGGCUCAACCGGGGAACUGCGUUCGAUACUGGGAGACUUGAGUCCUGGAGAGGGUGGCGGAAUUCCGGGUGUAGGAGUGAAAUCCGUAGAUAUCCGGAGGAACACCAGUGGCGAAAGCGGCUUCCUGGACUGUAACUGACGCUCAGACGCGAAAGCUAGGGUAGCAAACG
rnacentral:rRNA from 1 species